GCAAAAAAUCUAAUAAUAAACUACACCAUUUCAUCCUAUUUCUAAAAUCCCAAACCAAAACCCACGAAGGAAGCAACUGAGCUCCCUCCCAGCUCGCAGGGCAGAGACCCAUCGUGAAUCUACAACGGCAGCCAUAGAUAUGUCAAGUGGGAAGUUCUUCAAGUAGUUUUGGAAGGUUGAAUUAUGGCAACGAUCAUAAGGUGAAAUGUAAACACCAAUUUCUUGCAAUCUUGAGACAUCGUGGACAAAUAACAACCCAGGCAGAAAACAGAAUUGAUAGAGAAGGAUAAUAAUGCACCUCAGAUGAAGAUUGUUGAUUUAGAAGAUAAAAAGACUACUAUGAACAUACAAUUGAUUCAUUUAAGUUGGUUUGUUGUUGUGGUGGUCAUUUUAGUUUAUUUAGUGAAAGCAAAAGGCCAAGGAAAUAACUUGUAUUGAGAAUAGGUGAAUUGUAGUUUAGUCAUUGUGAAAGAUUGUAGUGAUAAUCGUUUUGAGAUAGUAGGAAACUUUUUAUCUCGUUUAAUGUAAUGACAAUUGUAAUAGCCACUUGUAUUUUUAUGUUGCAAUGGAAAUUGAAAUACAUUUCUUGCAAUGGAAAUUUUCACUUAGUUUUUUCUUUUA